rnacentral:rRNA from 1 species
CAGCAGCCGCGGGAAUACGUAGGGUGCGAGCGUUAAUCGGAAUUACUGGGCGUAAAGCGUGCGCAGGCGGUUAUAUAAGACAGAUGUGAAAUCCCCGGGCUCAACCUGGGACCUGCAUUUGUGACUGUAUAGCUAGAGUACGGUAGAGGGGGAUGGAAUUCCGCGUGUAGCAGUGAAAUGCGUAGAUAUGCGGAGGAACACCGAUGGCGAAGGCAAUCCCCUGGACCUGUACUGACGCUCAUGCACGAAAGCGUGGGGAGCAAACAGGAUUAGAGACCCCCGUAGUCCCUGUCUCUUAUAC